CGUCCCGGGAAAGUCAUUGCCCGCGGAGACUGUACAGUGGCCCUGGCACAGGUAUCACAGGGUCCUGGGUGGGUUAAAUCAAAGCCCACUGAAGCGGGCAGUGAGGGUCGGUGUGUGUGGAACUUAUCUCAGUAAGAGUGGCUGCUCAUGAAACUGUGCCCCAGAGAUCGUAAAGGUCCGUGGAAACCAUAUUUCAAAAUAAGGAGGUGCCUGGUGAAGCACUGUCACAGUGUCACGGCCAGGGAAAUCAAACUCUGGUCAAAGAGGCAGCGCUUUUGGAAACUGGACAUUGAGCAUGAAAUCACUAACCUCAGGAGUCAGUGUGUGUGGGACCCGUCCCCCAGUGAGGGUCGGUGUGUGUGGGACCCGUCCCCCAGUGAGAGUCGGUGUCUACUGAAUAGAAAAAGGGGAAAAAAGAAAUCCGCAUUGAAAAUAAGAUUCAAAAGCUGGAAUGAUUUAUUACUUCGGUGCCUUAAUAUAUGCUGAAUUCUCAGUGCUGAGAGUUGCCAUGGUUACAGCGCCCAGCCUGCAGAUUACAGCCAUCUCUCAACCACUUACUGCAGCAGCGGACCUCCCCAACCAGCGCCCAUCACCGGCGAGGAGCGGCAGGGCUCCGGAGCAGGGACGUGGAUCGGGCUCAGGUCCGGCAUCUCUCACAGGAAGAGCUGAGGUUCUGGUGGCCUGAACAAUGCGAGCUGCACAUUCGCCGUCCUAGGCCAGUCAACGUCCUCUGGUGGUUAAAACUCUCGGAGAAGUUUAAAAAGAUGCUGCUCGGCCCGCUGAGUUCCUCCACCAGUUUGCCUUUGAUUUGGCCAAAGGAAAAACAAAUAGCGAAGGAGGAGUGUGGGAAUGGACGUGAAAGAAUACUUUUGAGCACAAUUGAUGUGGAUGUAGUCAUGGGCUUCCCUCCAUUCAUCGAUGUUGGGAGUUUAUCACUUUAAGAGAGCACGGGGGCCUGUCACUUUAAGAGAGCACGGGGG